GCUUACGGCCAUACCACCCUGACAACGCCCGAUCUCGUCUGAUCUCGGAAGCUAAGCAGGGUCAGGCCUGGUUAGUACUUGGAUGGGAUUCCGCCUGGGAAUACCAGGUGCUGUAAGCU
rnacentral:rRNA from 1 species